GAUGAACGCUGGCGGCGUGCCUAAUACAUGCAAGUCGAGCGAACAGACGAGGAGCUUGCUCCUCUGACGUUAGCGGCGGACGGGUGAGUAACACGUGGCUAACCUACCUAUAAGACUGGGAUAACUUCGGGAAACCGGAGCUAAUACCGGAUAAUAUAUUGAACCGCAUGGUUCAAUAGUGAAAGACGGUUUUGCUGUCACUUAUAGAUGGAUCCUCGCCGCAUUAGCUAGUUGGUAAGGUAACGGCUUACCAAGGCAACGAUGCGUAGCCGACCUGAGAGGGUGAUCGGCCACACUGGAACUGAGACACGGUCCAGACUCCUACGGGAGGCAGCAGUAGGGAAUCUUCCGCAAUGGGCGAAAGCCUGACGGAGCAACGCCGCGUGAGUGAUGAAGGUCUUCGGAUCGUAAAACUCUGUUAUUAGGGAAGAACAAAUGUGUAAGUAACUAUGCACGUCUUGACGGUACCUAAUCAGAAAGCCACGGCUAACUACGUG
rnacentral:rRNA from 1 species